rnacentral:rRNA from 1 species
AGUGAACGCUGGCGGCAGGCCUAACACAUGCAAGUCGAGCGGUAAGGCCCUUUCGGGGGUACACGAGCGGCGAACGGGUGAGUAACACGUGGGUGACCUGCCCUCAGCUCUGGGAUAAGCCUGGGAAACCGGGUCUAAUACUGGAUAUGACUCCAUGACGCAUGUUGUGGGGUGGAAAGCCUUGUGCGGCUGAGGAUGGGCCCGCGGCCUAUCAGCUUGUUGGUGGGGUGAUGGCCUACCAAGGCGACGACGGGUAGCCGGCCUGAGAGGGCGACCGGCCACACUGGGACUGAGACACGGCCCAGACUCCUACGGGAGGCAGCAGUGGGGAAUCUUGCGCAAUGGGCGAAAGCCUGACGCAGCGACGCCGCGUGAGGGAUGACGGCCU